AUAUAGAUACACACGCUUUGCUGACCAAAUGACUUAUGUUCCUAUAAUAUACUGCCUAAUUAUUACAGCAAGCUGCCUAGACUUAACGAGCUAAAAGUAUGCUGCACAAGAACAGAGCCAAGGCUGCACACAGGUGGCCUGCAUCGUGCAAAGGAGGACAUGUUCCUCUGUGGGAUGCAGUAAGCAAGGACGGAGGACACCAAGACCUGGCUCAGUCACAAUCCAUCAAAAGCAACAGCCCACUUUGUAGAGACAGAUGUUCGUGUGUGAUAUGUAACUGCCCUUGUUAAACUUCAAUAAAAGACAGGCAAAAGAGGAAGAGAGUCAGAGCUCACUGGUGAGAAGCAGACUGCGGAGUCUGCUUACGGAGUGAUGCUCUCCUUCUAUAGAAGCCUAUUGUAUUAAUACAUAUCUGUGUCUGUGAAGUUAUUGCUAUCUAUUUCAGAGAAGAAGUCCUCACCUGGGAGUGCACCUUGAAGCACGACAAUUGGGGGCUCGUCUGGGAUAAAAACAAAAAGAGGAUUCUUCAAAUUGAUUGACAAAGGUUCGGUCCAAGGGUGAAAAGUCGCGUUGAACAUCUGGCGCCAUAAAUAAGGUAAGCAGACCAUUAUUCUGCAUUGACUAUUCUAAAUCAAGGGUGUUCAACGUCUUAGUAACCCACAGACCGCUAAAAAUAAUUAAUUAAAUACAUAGUGACAACUUCCAUUUCUAUAAAGGUACAGGAAAUAUGGUAUGGUUUAUGGAACAAAUAUGAGGAAAUAUUUGUGAAAGUCUGAGUUUGGCAACUCCACCCGUGUCUUGACGAGGAGCGGUUUUGGCUGGGUUGAAACACCCGAGAAUUGAGACAUCUUAAAAACAAAAAGGUUAAGUUAAGGUUAAUAAGGGUAAGUCCUCCAUAGUAGAGGUAAGUCCCAGGUAAUUGUAGGGGUAAGUCCUCCAUAGUAGAGGUAAGUCCCCCGGGGUAAGUCCUCCAUAGUAGAGGUAAGUCCCAGGUAAUUGUAGGGGUAAGUCCUCCAUAGUAGAGGUAAGUCCCCCGGGGUAAGUCCUCCAUAGUAGAGGUAAGUCCCAGGUAAUUGUAGGGGUAAGUCCUCCAUAGUAGAGGUAAGUCCCCUGGGGUAAGUCCUCCACAGUAGAGGUAAGUCCCCAAAGGAGUUGAAGUCUCCUAGGUAUGACUGGUGAACGAUUGUAUUAUUGAACCAUUUCACACUAUUUAGGUGAUAUGACAAAAUAAUCCAAUGUUCACAUGACUUGUUGGUUUUGGUGUCAGACAAUUGAGCUAGUUCGAUUGUCCAAAGGCUGAGAACCAGGGUAUAGCGAGCCAUAGAUCUCAGCUGGCCAAAAUCAUAGGGAAACUUGAUUUUGGUGUCAAAUAGGAAUAUUACUUUCCUGUUUAAGGGUUGAGAACCAGGGACAUAGUGUCCCAUAAAUCUCAACUGGCCACAAUCAAGGUUU